UACGUAGGAGGCAAGCGUUGUCCGGAAUUACUGGGUGUAAAGCGCGUGUAGGCGGCAGGCCAAGUCUGUGGUGAAAUCGCCCGGCUCAACUGGGCGGGGUCCAUGGAAACUGGUCAGCUGGAGGACGGUAGAGGUGGGUGGAAUUCCCGGUGUAGUGGUGAAAUGCGUAGAGAUCGGGAGGAACACCCGUGGCGAAGGCGGCUCACUGGGCCGGUCCUGACGCUGAGACGCGAAGGCGUGGGGAGCAAACAGG
rnacentral:rRNA from 1 species